UACGUAGGGGGCAAGCGUUGUCCGGAAUCAUUGGGCGUAAAGCGCGUGUAGGCGGUCCGGUAAGUCGGUUGUGAAAGUCCAGGGCUCAACCCUGGGAUGCCGAUCGAUACUGCCGGACUAGAGUCCGGAAGAGGCGAGUGGAAUUCCCGGUGUAGCGGUGAAAUGCGCAGAUAUCGGGAGGAACACCUAUGGCGAAGGCAGCUCGCUGGGACGUUACUGACGCUGAGACGCGAAAGCGUGGGGAGCAAACAGG
rnacentral:rRNA from 1 species